GCAACCUGCCCAAAAGAGGGGGAUAACACUUGGAAACAGGUGCUAAUACCGCAUAACCAUAGUUACCGCAUGGUAACUAUGUAAAAGGUGGCUAUGCUACCGCUUUUGGAUGGGCCCGCGGCGCAUUAGCUAGUUGGUGGGGUAAAGGCUUACCAAGGCAAUGAUGCGUAGCCGAACUGAGAGGUUGAUCGGCCACAUUGGGACUGAGACACGGCCCAAACUCCUACGGGAGGCAGCAGUAGGGAAUCUUCCACAAUGGGCGAAAGCCUGAUGGAGCAACGCCGCGUGGGUGAAGAAGGUCUUCGGAUCGUAAAACCCUGUUGUUAGAGAAGAAAGUGCGUGAGAGUAACUGUUCACGUUUCGACGGUAUCUAACCAGAAAGCCACGGCUAACUACGUGCCAGCAGCCGCGGUAAUACGUAGGUGGCAAGCGUUAUCCGGAUUUAUUGGGCGUAAAGGGAACGCAGGCGGUCUUUUAAGUCUGAUGUGAAAGCCUUCGGCUUAACCGGAGUAGUGCAUUGGAAACUGGGAGACUUGAGUGCAGAAGAGGAGAGUGGAACUCCAUGUGUAGCGGUGAAAUGCGUAGAUAUAUGGAAGAACACCAGUGGCGAAAGCGGCUCUCUGGUCUGUAACUGAC
rnacentral:rRNA from 1 species